UACGUAGGGUCCGAGCGUUGUCCGGAAUUACUGGGCGUAAAGAGCUCGUAGGUGGUUUGUCGCGUUGUUCGUGAAAACUCACAGCUUAACUGUGGGCGUGCGGGCGAUACGGGCAGACUGGAGUACUGCAGGGGAGACUGGAAUUCCUGGUGUAGCGGUGGAAUGCGCAGAUAUCAGGAGGAACACCGGUGGCGAAGGCGGGUCUCUGGGCAGUAACUGACGCUGAGGAGCGAAAGCAUGGGUAGCGAACAGG
rnacentral:rRNA from 1 species